GAGACUCUGUGCGCGUGCAUAUCAAUAAGCGGAGGAAAAGAAACUAACAAGGAUUCCCUUAGUAACGGCGAGUGAAGCGGGAAGAGCUCAAAUUUGAAAUCUUCAAGGUUUUACCUUGACGAAUUGUAGUUUAUAGGAGUGUUUUCUGUUAGUAGAGUUUGGUAAAAGUUCUUUGGAAUAGGACAUCAUAGAGGGUGAGAAUCCCGUAUUUGACCGUUACUUUCUAGCUGUGUGAUACACUUUCAAAGAGUCGGAUUGUUUGGGAAUGCAGUCCAAGAUGGGUGGUAAAUUUCAUCUAAAGCUAAAUAUUGGCGAGAGACCGAUAGCGAACAAGUACCGUGAGGGAAAGAUGAAAAGAACUUUGAAAAGAGAGUUAAACAGUACGUGAAACUUGUCAAAAGGGAAGCGUUUGACACCAGUGUUGUUUAGUUCGAAAAUCAAUUCAAGAAUGUUUUGAUUUUUAAGUAAGUAUUGACUUCAUCAGCUUGCUGCUUUCUUUUCGGAAAUUAUUGAAUGCACUUUUCAGUUAACAAGUCAACAUCAAUUUCUUUUGUUGUAAAAGGGUAAGAGGAAGGUGGCUUACGCUUCGGCGUAAGUGUUUAUAGCCUUUUACCUCUGCAAUCGGAGAGAUUGAGGACAGCAGCGUAGACUCCUUCGGGGGUUAGAUACACUUGUGCUAAGCUAUAGCCUUGUAUAGACAACUUGUUGACUAUGCUCAGUCAUGUAGCUUACUCGCUUGUGCUAUUUUACCUACGCUUAGGAUGUUGACAGCAGUAUAGACUGU
rnacentral:rRNA from 1 species